GUAGACGUCACAAUUUAUGAUUAUCAGGCAACAUGACAGAGGUAUUGCUUUUUUUUUCUCCGGACGGCUGUGAAGGUUUCACCACUAUUUUUUUUAGGUUGGAAUUCAAGGGGACAUUGCUGUUCAUGGUGUGGAGAAGAAAUCUGUUGCAAAACUACAAGAGGAAUAGACCACGCAUAAGAUUAGUGUGCUGGAUAAGCAUGUCUGUGUGACAUUUGCAGCCUAGGGUGUCCCCAGCAUCCUGAGAUUGUCUCCAACACGUUAUCACAGAUAGCUGAUUUCUUUUACCAUUAUUUGUAUAACCCAGUUAGUAAAGGCCCGCCGCACCUCUCUCAGCCGUACAGACGACAGAGCGGUGUAUUAGCCAUUAGGCAUCUCCACGUAGAUUGUGGGGUUAGACUAAAAUGGAACCUUCAGACUAUGCCAGAUGUGCCCUCCUGGAACAUACCAUGCAUGAAAGGCAAACGCAAUUGGUCGUAAUGCAAAGACACUGAGAGAAUUCCUGGAAAAGAAUUACACAGAUGCAGGUGACAAUGACACGAUUAAGCUCACAAUCAGGGUGUUGCUUGAGGUAAUGUCCCUUCCCUUUGUUGAUAGCAGUAAAGUGAGACGCAUUUCUUUGCCCACGGUAACAUGACCUUUGUUUGCAGGGAGGAACGUUGAACUUACCGUCAUCAGUAGGUGCCAGUCGCUGAAGGUGUUGCAUUUGUGCUAUAUUUAUCCAGUUCUGUCUCUUCUGAUCUCAUGUGUUUGUUAGUUUUUUUGCAGACAUUGGAAGCUAAAGAAAUUGAAACACUGGUUGCUGAGAUAAAGUAAGGAAGAGGAGGCAGAAAAGAAACAUGAAAUACACAUAGGUUUAAAAAAAAUAAUCUAUGUGGUUCCAAGGGACCAUCUAGGAAAUGGGAGAUGGACAAAUGGCCCCCGUCAGACUGAAAGCACAAAAUAUAUCUUCUCAGCGUUUAUCAUAAGCUAUCAAGAUUGGUCAGGUCAUUGGUACAUCAGUGUUUUCACAUUUUAAACCAUGCAAACAUUUUGAACACUACGCAACGUAUAAGUCAAGCACAUUAAUAAAGCCUGAUGUUUUAUAUACCUCAUUAAUCACUAAACAGCAUUGAGUUUUCACUUAAUCUCAAGUUUAUUAGGGUGCUUUUCUUCUACACCAGGUACCAUACUUUUGGUACUUCAACCCAAACCCUAACCUACUGGUGUAAAAACUGGUACCAGCGUGGACAGCUGGAUGAUGUGUGACAUUAAUACAAGGUUAUGCACAUGUAAUUCUUACAUCAGUCAGCUAUAUUAAGAUUGGGCCCUUUCUUACCUCAUACUGUACAGACAUUAUAGCACAGGGGGUUUAGGUUUUGCUUUUUGCAUAUUUACCGAAUUAAGAAAAGAAAAAACUUAGCAAGCUUUGCAAUUUUAAUGAUUAUUCCUUUUCAGUAUUAUCUCGUAUAUGUUUAAAAACAUCGCUUUAAAGUUUACCACCGCUGCAUUCUGCAUGAGUGCUGUAUGCAUUCUCUGAGACAAUCAUUUUCAUCCUUGCCGUUUAUUAAAUUAAUUUGUGAGAAAUUUAUGAACUGUUUUGCUUUUAAAUAAAUAGCCCAGUGUUUAUUACAACAAAAUCACAUUGCGAUAUUUGAAAAAUCCCAAUCUUGUUGUACCUGCAUGUUCUUCAGACCAGAUAGCAGUUUAGAAGCUUGGGUCUCUUCAUUUGUCCACGCAUCCAUUAUUAUUACUUUUCUUUUUUUACUUUGUUUAUCAUUGUUUUCUGAUUUCAUAACUUUUUUCAAGACAGAUGUUGUAUUGUGUUUCGGAGGCAGGCUAUUUGCAUAAGCAGUCGACAAAGAAAAUGUCCCACCCCAAAGUACCAAACUACCAAAAAAGUACCCCAGUUGGUUUGGAACUUUCGAUACUGUCAUUUUUGUUACUGGUACCAAAUGGAAAAGGGAAAGUACCGUUAGUAUAAACAGCCUACUCCUUCAAACAGUGAAUCACAUGGCUGCAACUGAAAAUAUACGGCUCACAGAUAGAAUCAAGAGGUUCACUUAUUUUUCGGAUGGCAUUCGGGCGACUAAGACGCCUGAUCUAAGCGAUUUUGAACCUGGUGAUCUCUGAACAUUUCAUCUGCACUUGAAGUAGUUCUGGAGACGUGGGUCUUGCCUAGCACUAGGCAGAAGUGCCUUUCCGUGUUGCUUUAGAAAAUCUUAGGAAAAUCUGAUGGCCUCUAUCUUAGCUCCUGGAUAACUCAGUCUGACACUGGAGACUGAGAACCAGUCACAGGUUUUCCCAGGAAAAGUGAUGGAAGAUCGUCUUCUUCUGAUCUGGUCUUUGUAUACACAUUUUUCACUUAAAACCUAAAAUUCAAAGUUAUUUUUUAUAUCUUGCUGACAUAAAUGUUAUUACAAAUCUGAAACUGAGAUGUUGUUUUGAUUUGGGUUUUCCUUAAGCUUUGUCCAUCAGUUCCUUUCAAUUUUUGUUCAUACUUAAAGGUGGGCUUUGGUUGUGUGUGUAAAAUGUUUAUCUUUUUGGUCCAAACUGGCACUCUGUGCCAAAGUCACAUUAACAUGAAAGGAGGAAAAACCUUAUUUCUGUCCAGUGAGCUGCUUUGCAUUUCACUGUAAUCCGAACCUGUUUAACAUUCGAUCGCAGUUCAAAACUCGACGGCAGGGUUGUAGCCAGGAGUGCUGAUCUUUAAAGGGAUCCAAGCUUUAAGCUAAUUGGAAACAUCAAUGACUUUAAUCUGGAAGCCUUUGAAAACUCACAUUCUGGGCUGUGCCAGUGCCUACGGCCCUUUAGACUUGAAAAAGACAUAAUAGAGAAUGUAAAGUGCUUCAUUUAGGCUGUUGUCCCCGAGCCUGGCGAUUGGAAGGGGAUAACUUAGUCUCAUGGCCAGGGAGAAUUAUUGUUAUGUAUUUUCUGAGGCUGUGCUUGAUGAUAACUGCUUCAAUCUUCAUCAAAAGAAAAUGUUCUGACAUAGGAUGAGCUGAUAACUUGUAGCGAAAAUAGUUUUUUUGAUUUUUUUGAUGGGAAGAUCAACAGAAUACAGGUGUGCAAGGGAGAGAUGUAAAGAAAUGGACUGUUCCAUUGUGGUAUGUGUGAGAGGGGCUGCUUUCUUUUCAGGCCUGGUAGAAAAGAACACCACUAUUGGCUGUAGCUCAGCCUUGUGUUUUAGAAUCUUGGGUUGUAACACUGAUGAAUUUAAGGAGUUUGCAUAGAAUGAGGGCAAUGCGGAAUGUGUUUGUAAUAGCAAAAAAAUAUUCUGUAGAUAUGAUGUGAGGCUUGGUUACUCACUGUCAUGCAUGUUAAGGUGUGUAUUUAUAGCCUGCAGAUAGAUUUUCUUCCAGGACUUCCCCCCCAAAAAGUGAGAAUUCCUCCUGGCAUGAGACAGGGAGAAACCUAUUAGCCACACGCGUCACAGAACGGUGCCCGCGGGCGCGAGCGGGUCGCUUGUUGCCAGAUCCGGCCUGCUGCCGGGCAGCCCUAAGAUAUGGUUGCUCUGAAGCCUGGCAAUUAGUGUGUAAAAUGACGAUUCUGCAGGAGGUCGUCUGGGUGGGAAAGCAGCCCUGCGGAUCUGAGGUCUGCUCUCACGUCUGUGUGGAAGUUGUGGGUUAUGGGCGGCGUCUUUGCAUGUACGUACGCCCCAGGUCAAAUGUGGAACUUCCUGUUUUACUGGAGUUAUUACUGAAGUAACCAAAUAUUUGUUUUCACCUCAUGUUUGCUUUUUAUUCGAUGAACAUUUCUGGGCACCCAAUUAGCGCAGAGUAUUUCCUGUGUUUCACAAGGCGUAAUAAAAUCACCUUGUAGAUAA